UACGGGGGGAGCAAGCGUUGUUCGGAAUCACUGGGCGUAAAGGGCGUGUAGGCGGUCAGGUAAGUGAGAUGUGAAAUGCCCCGGCUCACCCGGGGACCGGCAUCUCAUACUGCUUGGCUUGAGUACGGGAGAGGAUGUGGGAAUUCCUGGUGUAGCGGUGAAAUGCGUAGAUAUCAGGAGGAACACCGGUGGCGAAGGCGCACAUCUGGCCCGAUACUGACGCUGAGGCGCGAAAGCUAGGGGAGCAAACGGG
rnacentral:rRNA from 1 species